UUGGUUUUUGUUAGAUACGCAAUAAAGUGCAUAUAGUUUGUCCAUCACUAUUUUAAAAUGAUUGAUAGCUCCCAUCUCUUUUACCACAUUGCCUGGAGCCUGGUUGCUACUUCACUCUUGCGUCCCAGCAUGACAGGCACACCAUCAUACAUUAUUCCAAUGAGCGUUUUGGAUCGAAAGUUCUCAGUCAACUUCACACCCUCUAAUGCAGAUAACAGAUUACGGACUAAUCCCUCUGCAGAUAAAUCAUCCAGUUCUACAAGGUCAAAACAUUUUUUUGCAGGCAGGUGGUUCCUGGCCCCCCUAGCUGAUGCUGACCCCCAUGCCGUCAGAUCUCUACUGGACUCCCGGCGUCGUGGGGGUCGGCUCCAGUAUCUGGUGGACUAGGAGGGGAAUGGCCCAGAGGAGCGGUAAUGAGUUCCGUUGGAGGACAUUCUGGAUCCCAACAUCAUCCGUGAUUUCCACCUUUGCCGUCCAGCUCGGCCCGCUCCUCUGGUUGGUGUCGUCCUGCGGCUAGUGCCGCGCGUCUGGCAUUCGACAUCACCGGUAUACUAUCCACCGGUCCUGGGAUCCAUCAUUACGCACACCUGGCAUCAAUCAUUACGCGCACCUGCACGUCAUCAUUAUUACUUCCCCUAUAUCUGGCACUCCCUUAGGUUCUUUCCCAGUCACUAUUGUUUGUGUUUCAUGUCUAUACUCUAUUCGUGUUUGUUAUAUUGUUUGAUGUUCCGUUUAAUAUUAAACUCACCACCUGCACUUGC